UUAAAAUGCUAUAUAUUAUUUUAAAUAUGAAAUUACUAUUCAUGGUUCUUCGAAAACUAUAUAUAUAAAAUAGGCGUCUGAUAUAAAGGACACACAGUGCAAAGCCCCACACGAUUUGAUUUAAAGAAAACGUGCUUUUACCAAACGUUUUUUUUUUAACACAUAGGCGUCUGAUAUUAAGGAAGAGCAUUAUAUAAGCAAAGAGGCUAUACAUACUUAAUAUUUCAUAAAUCUAUACAGCUAUAUACAUCCACAUAAUGGUUGUGUGCCUUAACAAAUAUACAAUAUAUGGGUCAUGACCACUAGCCAUUAGAGUAGAAGAAAAAGAUGAGAGGUUUAUUUUUCAGUAGUGGAUAAAUUGUCAGGAAGUUUGUAGGUGGCAGGUUUGUCGACACCUCGUCUUGAGUACUCUCUCCAUCUCCGUGCAGCUGCAGCCGCUCUGCUUGCUCUCUCUCUCACUUCCUCCUCUGUCCCAUCACAUUUCAACAUAUAUUUUUUUCAUUUUCAAAUGCAAGAUUUGGAUUAUGCCCAUUUGCUUAUGAACGGGUCGACAUGGAUUAGCUUUCUUGAUUUGCUCUGGAGUUGCAUCUGGAAGCUGAUUAGAGAGAAGAAACACUAAUUAUUAUUAUUAUUGCUGAGAUAAAAUUAAUGAAUUCAUGGGAAAUUAGUCACCUUGUCUGUUUAUACAUUAUGUACUCAUAUAUCAGACAUAAUUAUUCUCCGUAUGAGAUAGCAAGAGAAUCAACAUAUGUCGUGGUCAACGAAAAUAUUUUCUUCAGCAGCUGGUAAGUGUCUUCAACUUCUACUAUGUAAAGUUGUUUUCAAUCAACAUUGAGAAUUCUAAAGACUAAAAGAGGGUAUUGUUACCAAACAUGGAUCCUAUCCUUCAACACUUAAAAUUGAUGAUUAAGGCAUCCCUCUAAAUAUAGUUAUAGGUUACUUGAUUUCCACAGAGAAAACUCAUCCACCUGGAAUAUUAUCGACCACUUGAUGUUUUUAAUAUGUAUCGUACUUCCAAGGUAAGUGACUAAACCUUAAUAUAUCUUCUACAAGUGUUUAUUUUCAUUUGUUUUCUACAGUAGAAUUCAUUGGGUAUUGAAGUUUGCGUACACGAUUGUCAUAGUCAAAGAUUAGUAUAGUAUUUCAUACAGCUGGUCCAUGAAAGCAAAUAUUUUUGUGGUAAAACUAAAAUCACUUGGCCUAUAAGGUAUGGAGACGAGACGAGACGGGAGGUGGACAGAAAUUAAGGAAAAAAUAAGUGAUUGUAAUGGAGUUCUAGCUGCAGCUUCAAAGUAAUGGAGUUCUAGCUGCAGCUUCAAAGUAAAGAUUAAGUAUGGCAAAUUAAUUGUUGGUGUUUCAAGACCAGGCAUAUGGCAAGGUGUGAGGGAGGCUAUCUAUCUAUCUAUGUACAACUCACUAUAAGUAGAUUUCAGAACACUGGGGUGGGUGAUCCCAUUUCAAACUUAUGUUAGUGUUAUUGUAAUUGAAAAAAAAAAAACCUAAAACUUCCAAACACAUACAAACAUACCAGUCCCAGAACAGCAUAGUAAUCAUCGGCAAGAGCAUCUGACGAGAAGGGAGACGGAUC
rnacentral:lncRNA from 1 species